rnacentral:rRNA from 1 species
UCGAGCGAGUCUGCCUUGAAGAUCGGAGUGCUUGCACUCUGUGAAACAAGAUACAGGCUAGCGGCGGACGGGUGAGUAACACGUGGGUAACCUGCCCAAGAGAUCGGGAUAACACCUGGAAACAGAUGCUAAUACCGGAUAACAACAGAUGAUGCCUAUCAACUGUUUAAAAGAUGGUUCUGCUAUCACUCUUGGAUGGACCUGCGGUGCAUUAGCUAGUUGGUAGGGUAACGGCCUACCGAGGUGAUGAUGCAUAGCCGAGUUGAGAGACUGAUCGGCCACAUUGGGACUGAGACACGGCCCAAACUCCUACGGGAGGCAGCAGUAGGGAAUCUUCCACGAUGGACGCAAGUCUGAUGGAGCAACGCCGCGUGAGUGAAGAAGGGUUUCGGCUCGUAAAGCUCUGUUGUUGGUGAAGAAGGACAGGGGUAGUAACUGACCUUUGUUUGACGGUAAUCAAUUAGAAAGUCACGGCUAACUACGUGCCAGCAGCCGCGGUAAUACGUAGGAGGCAAGCGUUGUCCGGAUUUAUUGGGCGUAAAGCGAGUGCAGGCGGCUCGAUAAGUCUGAUGUGAAAGCCUUCGGCUCAACCGGAGAAUUGCAUCAGAAACUGUCGAGCUUGAGUACAGAAGAGGAGAGUGGAACUCCAUGUGUAGCGGUGAAAUGCGUAGAUAUACGGAAGAACACCGGUGGCGAAGGCGGCUCUCUGGUCUGUUACUGACGCUGAGGCUCGAAAGCAUGGGUAGCGAACAGGAUUAGAUACCCUGGUAGUCCAUGCCGUANACGAUGAGUGCUAAGUGUUGGGAGGUUUCCGCCUCUCAGUGCUGCAGCUAACGCAUUAAGCACUCCGCCUGGGGAGUACGACCGCAAGGUUGAAAC